rnacentral:rRNA from 1 species
UCCAGACUCCUACGGGAGGCAGCAGUGGGGGAUAUUGGACAAUGGGGGGAACCCUGAUCCAGCGACGCCGCGUGAGUGAAGAAGUAUUUCGGUAUGUAAAGCUCUGUCAGCAGGGAAGAAAGAAAUGACGGUACCUGACCAAGAAGCCCCGGCUAACUACGUGCCAGCAGCUGCGGUAAUACGUAGGGGGCAAGCGUUAUCCGGAUUUACUGGGUGUAAAGGGAGCGUAGACGGCAGCGCAAGUCUGGAGUGAAAUGCCGGGGCCCAACCCCGGAACUGCUUUGGAAACUGUGCAGCUCGAGUGCAGGAGAGGUAAGCGGAAUUCCUAGUGUAGCGGUGAAAUGCGUAGAUAUUAGGAGGGACACCAGUGGCGAAGGCGGCUUACUGGACUGUAACUGACGUUGAGGCUCGAAAGCGUGGGUAGCAAACAGGAUUAGAUACCCUCGUA